UGCUAAGGCUUGUCCGGCAGGACCCAACAUUGGUUUUAAUCUGCUAAUCACAUAAUAACCUGCAUAGGGAAUAGCUACCCCGAGGAAUUUAAUCAACAACCCGGGCUAGUGCUCCUCAUGAGUGUUGGCCCCACCUGAACGAUGUCCGGGGCCCCACUGGUCACCCAGAGGUUGAGCCAUCCCGACGUCUAGCUCAUCC
rnacentral:lncRNA from 1 species